rnacentral:lncRNA from 1 species
AAUGAACUUUGGAUUGUAAUGAAAUUGAACUGUUAGAAAUCGUAACACACUUAUUUUAAUAGAUGAGGUCUGACAAAAAGGCAUCAAUAAAUUUGGACAAUGCAGUAGUACCUAGGAAAGAAGACAAAAGUAGAAUGACUUGGGCAAUCAGAACAUUGCAGGAAUCCAAAAAAACUGUUAGAGCCAGGAUCUGUUGUUGUUAGACGUUCAAGCAAGUCUUGAUGUCCAAGUGAGACUGAAUACUGCCAGGAUCUAGAUACAGGAAUUCUUCCUCAGUUCAACAGGAAAAUCCUCUUCAUACCUUCCUCUCAACUUCCUCAGGAGACCAGAAGAAAGUCAGCUGGACAAGAUGGAAUCUUCCCAGAUCCUGUAGCUCAGGCUCCCAUGGUCACACACCACUGUCAAUCAUACCUAGCCACAAUGGGAUCAUCUUCAAAGGAAGGAGGAUUUAUCCUGAAUCUCUCAAUAUCUUGUGGAAUGAAAGAUAUUUGAUGCCUAAUGGUCCCAACAUCUCCACUAUUAAGACUACUAAAGACCUGACUUAAGGAUAAUAAAAAGUGAAGAAAAUUGAAGAAAAUUGAGGAU